rnacentral:rRNA from 1 species
GUUGACCUCGGAUCAGGUAGGGAUACCCGCUGU